AUGCCCAGUGAAGCCACAGAAACCGCCCUGCUACAGAGCAGGGGCUGCCACAGCCUCAGGCGGAGACAGGGCCCGGAACAGGAUCUGAGGAGCCAGUCAGUAAAGCAAAACAGAGUCGGAGUGAAGAGAAGGCACGGAAGGCUACGUCCAAACUGGGUCUUCGACAGGUUACAGGGGUUACUAGAGUCACUAUCCGGAAAUCUAAGAAUAUCCUCUUUGUCGUCACAAAACCAGAUGUCUACAAGAGCCCAGCUUCAGAUACCUCCAUAGUUCUAGGAGAAGCCAAGAUGGAGGAUCUGUCUCAGCAGGCACAGCUAGCAGCUGCUGGGAAAUUGAAAGUUCAAGGCAAAGCUGUUUCAAACAUUCAAGAAACACACAGACUCCAACUGUGCAAGAGGAGAGUGAAGAGGAAGAAGCUGAUGAAACAGGUGUGGAAGUUGAAAACAUAGAAUUGUCCAUGUCACAAGCAACUGCGUCGAGAGCACAGGCAGUCGGAGCCCUGAAGAACAACAGAAUGAUAUUGUAAAUGCUAUUAUGGGAUUAACAAUGUAACCAUCUGAAAACAAGGAUUUUUUUUGAUGUUUCAAAAGAGUAACUGCAGCUUGGUUUGAAAUUUGUACUGUUUCUAUCAUUAAUAAAGUUAUGGCUUCUUGUUGGAUAAAAAAAAAAAAAA